AAAUGUGUGUAAGGUGAGCUACGAAUUUUUAUGAAAUCCUUUCUUUUUUUUUAACUUCAUUUGAUUUAUAUAAAUUCGUUUAAUCACGUCGAAUGUUGAAAAUUUGAGACCUCUUCUUAUCUGAGAAAGCGGUUUCAUGUAUAGCUAAACAAAGAUCAAAUUUAAAAAAAAAGCUCAUUAGUCAUAAGAAGUUACAGUAAGACUCGGAGUGUCCAUCGUUCAGCAAGAUCGUAUGCGAGAAUACGAACUCAAGCAACGCGAUUUUAAUCUCUUCAUAAAUUAUUUUUAUGAGGACCAUAUACUUU